rnacentral:rRNA from 1 species
UGAGGAAUAUUGGGCAAUGGAGGCAACUCUGACCCAGCCAUGCCGCGUGAAGGAUGACGGUCCUCUGGAUUGUAAACUUCUUUUAUAUGGGAAUAAACUUUUCUACGUGUAGAAAACUGAAGGUACCAUACGAAUAAGGAUCGGCUAACUCCGUGCCAGCAGCCGCGGUAAUACGGAGGAUCCAAGCGUUAUCCGGAUUUAUUGGGUUUAAAGGGUCCGUAGGCGGGUCUUUAAGUCAGUGGUGAAAGCCUGCAGCUUAACUGUGGAAAUGCCAUUGAUACUGGAGGCCUUGAGUGUAGUAGAAGUAGGCGGAAUAGGGCAUGUAGCGGUGAAAUGCAUAGAUAUGCCCUAGAACACCGAUUGCGAAGGCAGCUUACUAUGUUAC